GCGGGGGGGAGCUUACCAUGCAAGUCGAGCGGGGAAGGUAGCUUGCUACCUGACCUAGCGGCGGACGGGUGAGUAAUGCUUAGGAAUCUGCCUAUUAGUGGGGGACAACAUUCCGAAAGGAAUGCUAAUACCGCAUACGCCCUACGGGGGAAAGCAGGGGAUCUUCGGACCUUGCGCUAAUAGAUGAGCCUAAGUCAGAUUAGCUAGUUGGUGGGGUAAAGGCCUACCAAGGCGACGAUCUGUAGCGGGUCUGAGAGGAUGAUCCGCCACACUGGGACUGAGACACGGCCCAGACUCCUACGGGAGGCAGCAGUGGGGAAUAUUGGACAAUGGGCGAAAGCCUGAUCCAGCCAUGCCGCGUGUGUGAAGAAGGCCUUUUGGUUGUAAAGCACUUUAAGCGAGGAGGAGGCUACUUGGAUUAAUACUCUAGGAUAGUGGACGUUACUCGCAGAAUAAGCACCGGCUAACUCUGUGCCAGCAGCCGCGGUAAUACAGAGGGUGCGAGCGUUAAUCGGAUUUACUGGGCGUAAAGCGUGCGUAGGCGGCUUCUUAAGUCGGAUGUGAAAUCCCUGAGCUUAACUUAGGAAUUGCAUUCGAUACUGGGAAGCUAGAGUAUGGGAGAGGAUGGUAGAAUUCCAGGUGUAGCGGUGAAAUGCGUAGAGAUCUGGAGGAAUACCGAUGGCGAAGGCAGCCAUCUGGCCUAAUACUGACGCUGAGGUACGAAAGCAUGGGGAGCAAACAGGAUUAGAUACCCUGGUAGUCCAUGCCGUAAACGAUGUCUACUAGCCGUUGGGGCCUUUGAGGCUUUAGUGGCGCAGCUAACGCGAUAAGUAGACCGCCUGGGGAGUACGGUCGCAAGACUAAAACUCAAAGGAAUUGACGGA
rnacentral:rRNA from 1 species